GUGCAUCUCUCUAAAUCACUGUGCCCGUGUCCCUGUGCUCUCUCCUUCACCCCAUGUAGGUAAAGGGUACUCACAGCGGGGUCGGCCAGGUAGCUCAGGCUCCACAGAGAGCAGUGCUCUGGGCACACAGAGCCUCGGUCACCAGAAGGCCACGCACACUGGACGCAAACCCCGGGCAGAAACUGUUGGGUCCGCUCCUAGCCGGAGAACACCCCCACAGAGUGGUAGGACGUGGGGGGGGGGGGGGGGGGGGAUGAGGAGGUGGAUAGGAGCUUCUGUGUUGAUGUGGUUGUUAACGAGCUUAUUAGCCAUACUGAUCCCUAUGAUAUGACCCACUGGUCCAUCCUUGAUUACAAAGUCUGUGUAUUACCCCGAAGGUUAAUGGCAGUGUUAAUCUGAGCCUCUUGUCAUCCUCUCUCCUCAGCAGCCUCUCCUGCCCCAGAGCAGGUCAACAGUGUGGGGGCCAGGCUGCAUGGUUCAUGGGCGGCCGGAGGCUCGGACCCCCCUGAGGAGUGUAUGGUCUCCACGCUGGAGCGGCAGCACAUGGCCUCCUGGAGCGGCACACCCGCCAACAUGGGCACCCUGGGCAGGGCCCGCCACAGGGCUGGGGCUGGCAUUGACCACCCACACAACAGCCACAAUGGCCACCCGCCUCCCAACAGCACCGAGCAGAACUACGGAGAACGAUAGUCUUUGUGAUGAGUCGGACCCUCCAGUGCUGCCUGUCUAUAAGUGCAAUGAGAUUUCCUCUCUCCAAAUGCUACAGGACGGAGGAUGGAGAAAUGUCAGGAAGUGGAAAGAGUGUGAGGGAAACGCAGAGAUGUAAAUGUGAUGUACAGACACACAGACACGUCUCACAGUGUUCUUUUUACAGUGUUACUUUCAUCCUUCCUUCCAAUAUAAUAUUCUGUAUGUCACUUGCCCCUCCUGUUUCAUGUCACAAGAUGUACAGUAAGUCACUCUACAUUAAUGAAGUAAAAUCACUACAGUUAAGCUAUUGACUCAUGAAAGUGAAAGGACUUGCAUUUCUUUGUAAAUAGGUUUUGUAUUUUCAGUUUUUCUCUUGUUUUGCUUCACUAUGCAAGCCAAAAUCUGCCAUUGAAGUUGUCUCUUUUACUUGUAAUUUUACAUUGUGAGUUGAUGGACUUGUGGUGCCACAUUCGUUUUUCAUAAAUGCUUGAAAUAAUGAUUUUAUUUUGAUGAAACUACUGUAUUGUUUACUUUGCACAGAGCGUUGGGUGAUAAUAAGCACAAAGUCAUCAGCUGAGCUGAAAGAAGAAUGAAGCGGAGGAGUGUCUAUAAUAGAACCUAAUAGAUAAUAUAUGACAGCACAUGCUUUUCAGAGACACAGAUGUAUUGAGAGAUAUAAUGUUUAAAAAAAAAAAAUGGCCACAUAGAAAACAUUAAGAUGUGAUGUUUUUUUUUCUUCUUCUUGUUCAAAUCUGCGGUGGUUUGUGAGGAUGAUCUGGCCAGUGUGCAUUGUACUGCUUGGCAGUCCGUUUCCCAUAGAGUAUAUUCCCAUGACAGUGAGGCAGCGGUACUUGGAUUCCAAAAAUGAAUGACUGUUCAGAAUAAUCGAUAAAAGGUGAAACCAUCUACGUGUAACAUUUAAAGCGUAGAUGCAAAGGGCAGAGGCGAAGGGCGGCAGCUAGUUGUUGAUAGGGAGGCGUUGGGCCAACAGAGCGCCACUCAGGUGUGUGGUCAGGUGGGGACAGCUGUGUGCACAGAUGGACUCUGUCAGUGUUGCCCAUGGGAACAAAAUAAGAUAAAGAGAUGUUGGCCUUGAGAUGACUAGCUAAUCCCAGACCGGGUUUUCAUAGUUGUCAGUGACUGGUAAACAUGAUUAACAACUAUAUGCAAUUAGAUUCAAAUAAUACACCCAUCAUAGAUAUGAUGGCCGUCUGUUUUAAUCCUACCGGUGCAGUAUAAUGUGGCCCCUAUCUACGACCCUGGCAACACACCGGUGACACUCAUCAGGGUUAGUGAGGAAUAGUGAGCCCCUCGCUUAAUCAGCAUAUCCUCAACGCUGUAACCAGUCACGGAGGGCAGCUGGUUGCUAGCUUCACAAUGCAGUGUUUUGAUUCACUUCUUUGUUCUUUUCUGGUUGUUCUUUGUAUUGGCUUCACCUGUAAAGACUCUGUACCUGCCAGAUCCGGUCUGCCCUCAGAAAUACUCAGGCACGUACAGUGUGGCCGUUCAUUUUUCAACCCUACGAUGCAAAUAAAACGUGUAUGUGGAAUCAACCAUGAGUCUCUGUGCUGUGCAUGUGAGUUGAUGGUGCAAAGCAUUCUCCUCAUGUGAGAAAUGUUAACUGAUUAGGGCAUUAUGUGCAUGCACUCAUAAGUAGCACGUUAGCAGAAUACACACUUAACAGAAUCAGAGACGAGGUGCACAUAAAGAACGAUACUCGGUCUCCCUCUCUCAAGCGUCUCCGUGCUAAAUCAGUCUUAGUCAGAGCUAAUGGGAAAAUAAAAGAAUGAUGGCAACUUUUUUGAUGCAUCUAUCCCUUCAGUCUCCCC
ensembl:lncRNA